rnacentral:rRNA from 1 species
UACAGAGGGUGCAAGCGUUGUUCGGAAUUAUUGGGCGUAAAGCGCGUGUAGGCGGCUUUGCAAGUCGGGUGUGAAAACUCGAGGCUUAACCUCGAGAUGUCAUCGGAAACCAUUUGGCUAGAGUCCGGAAGAGGAGAGUGGAAUUCCUGGUGUAGCGGUGAAAUGCGCAGAUAUCAGGAAGAACACCAAUGGCGAAAGCAGCUCUCUGGGACGGUACUGACGCUGAGACGCGAAAGCGUGGGGAGCGAACAGG